AAAUGAGUUAAUAAAGAAUGUUUAGAAUAUCUGGCAUGUAGUGAGUAUUCAAUUAUUAUUACUAUUAUAUAGUAAUAGAGCAAUUAUUAUUACUUUAGGACUUAAAAGCAUCUAAGUUUAGAACAAUUCCUCCCUUAAGAGGAAUUAUGACAAUAGAGAAAGAGUUCAGUAAAUUAUGGCCCAUUGGCUGAGUGGAAUAUUACAUGUCCCCUAAAAAAAUGAUCCUUCCUAUGAGUCUAUAAUAAUUUGGAGAAAUGCUUGUUACGUGAAAACAUAGUAGGCUUUAUAAUCAUACAUACAAUGUCAUCUCAGCUAUACUCAAAAGUCCAAACAAAAAUUAUGCACAGAGUAAAGACUGAAAGGAAUUAUACUAAAAUAUUAACAGCUACCUUUCAUAAUGGAAAAAAAAUGUUUUUUUUCUUCCUCCACAAAGAACGCUCUCAUUAUUAGUGAAUGUCUCUGCAGGGGAGCUGGGCACACCCUAUGCUUUUAUUAGUUAACCUCUUAUCUAGCCAAGGCUUGGCAGGAAAUACAGCAAUGCAAUACAGGGUGGAGGAAUAUGUUUGAAGGGGAGGAGAGAAGAUGAAAGAAGAGAUGCCCAUGGUAUCUACUUUGACUUCACGCCUGUGUCUGUCGGAAAGGGUAUUACUCAUUCAUGAUGGCAGCUGCAAAGACUAUGAUUAAAUUAUUAAUAAACUGCAAAAAUCAUUUCCUGAUCUUCCAUCCCAAGCAGAAAUUCAGCUUUUGUCACACUGACAACAUUUUGACCCUAACUUCUCCUUUAUCUAUGCAUAUUUGGUUGCAGGGAGAAGACAACCUUCCUCUUCUUUGCUGUCUCUUACUCUGUGAUUUUUGUGGCGCCAUCCAAAGGUGAGGCCACUGCUUGAAGAAGGCAGAUUCAAAAGACUCGAGAAAAAAUGGAGUCAGAGCCCGAUCAAACCACAGGUAACGUCUACCCUACCUUUGCUAUUUACAGUUACAUGAGCCAAUACUUUUUAUCUAUUUUUUAAACUAAAUUAUCUUGCUUUUUCUCUUGCUUAUCUGGGAGUUUCCCUUAUAUUAAACAAAUACUUGUAGUAGUUUAGGGAGUAAAAUUCGAAGCCCCCUUUCUUCUCUGUUUUUGUUUUUUGCUUUUUUUCUGAGACAGGGUCUCACUCUGUCAUCCAGGCUGGAGUGCAGUGGCUCAAUCACAGCUCACUGCAGCCUCGACUUUCCCAGCUCAAACGAACUUCCCCCCUCAGCCUCCCAAGUAGCUGGGACUAUAGGCACACACCACCACACUGGCUAAGUAUUUUUGUAGAGAUGAGGAUCUCACUCUGUUGUGUAGGCUGGUCUUGAACUCUGGGGCUCAGGUGAUCCUCUUGCUUU
rnacentral:lncRNA from 1 species